CCUACGGGUGGCUGCAGUGGGGGAUAUUGGACAAUGGGGGGAACCCUGAUCCAGCGACGCCGCGUGAGUGAAGAAGUAUUUCGGUACGUAAAGCUCUAUCAGCAGGGAAGAAAAUGACGGUACCUGACUAAGACGCCCCGGCUACCACCGUGCCAGCCGCCGCGGUAAUACGUAGGGGGAAAGCGUUAUCCGGAUUUACUGGGUGUAAAGGGAGCGUAGACGGCAGAGCAAGUCUGAAGUGAAAUCCCAUGGCUUAACCAUGGAACUGCUUUGGAAACUGUGCAGCUGGAGUGCAGGAGAGGUAAGCGGAAUUCCUAGUGUAGCGGUGAAAUGCGUAGAUAUUAGGAGGAACACCAGUGGCGAAGGCGGCUUACUGGACUGUAACUGACGUUGAGGCUCGAAAGCGUGGGGAGCAAACAGGAUUAGAUACCCUUGUAGUC
rnacentral:rRNA from 1 species